GCUGGUCUCCCAUAAGCCUUUUGCCUCUGUGCCUGUCGUCAGUCAGGUGUGUGCCUACCCUUUCCACAAGUAAAGAUUCUGUCAACGUGCGUGACACUUUUGGGACAAGACAAAAAAUUUGGAUCCUGGGCAUGGCUGGUGGUCAGUGGUCAUUCCAUAAAGGAUUUCACAAAGCAACAGAAACAGAGACUCAGGAGAAGCCUCUGGUCAGGAACACAAAUGGAAAAAGAAACACGAAACAUCCCCGGGAUGAAUGCAGGAGCUGUCCAGAGCAAAGAGGGAAAUCCUGGUGUCUGUGAGGUAGCACGAAAACUGACAGGUACAAAUCCAACCUCUGAAAUGCCAGGCAGAUUUUCUCUGAUUUUUCCAGAUUACCUGAUUUGCUGACUUUUGGAAAAUAUUGUGAGAUUCUUGGACCAAAAUGCAAAUGAAUGACCUGCGAAU
rnacentral:lncRNA from 1 species